UUCAUAUUCAUAUGUACAUGUAUGGUGGUAUGGUGGCUCAUUAACAGUCAGUAAAUGUGGAUUUCCAUACUUACCUCGCUAGGGAUUUUACAGAUAAGUUUAUAUGAGAUAAUUACCCUUGCAUAUCGCCUAAGAAAACGGUAAGGAAUUGGGAUAUUGAGCUCAAAAUCCAAAGCUUUGAGCAUAUUUCUCUCCAUGGCAACAAAUGAAGAAUGCUGAUAUGCAUCAUCACAAAUGUACAGGAAGUCAUCAAGGCAAGGACACUUCAUCAGGAAGUUGUCAAGAAUCUUCACUCCAACAUAGAGCGUUUCAUGAUAYAAUUCAAAACUCUCCUGCACUUCAACCAACCAGUCUACUAAAAUAGCUCUCAUGCUUAUUGAUAGUUCUUUCUGAGAGUCCAUAUAUGAUUUCAAGGGAAAUAGCU